UCUCAUUCCGGUUUGCUGCUCGUCGUCUCGCGGAUACUUCAGCGCACUCGCAGUUUCAGUCCGAAAAUUCCUCUUAAAUCCAAGGGAUAUUUAAAACUAACAGAUACUAAAAAAACAGAAACAGUUUUAUAAAAAAAGUAUUAAAGAAAUGCCGACGGCUUAGUGAGAAAACAGUGAAAAAUAACAAUCUGAAAGUGGAUUUUAUCACUAGAAAGCCUGUAAAGAUCCUUUUUAGUGCAGUGAGAAAUUAAAUAUCAAAUUGCCUGCUACUUGUCUUGCCCGAGACAAAAUCCCAGUAACUUAAAGCGAAACCCUUGGACCAGGGUCAAGGAAGGACCAAACCCACAGCCAGGAUGGUGCUCGUGCUGAAUGGUGUGCUGCAGGACGACUGCCCCAUGGACACCAACAGCCUCUUCCUGCAGCAUCCCGUUUACAGAGACUACGCCCAGCAGCUGCACUCCAUCCAGGCCAAGUCGGUGGGGCCGGUGGGUCUGCUCUACGUGGGUCAGCGGGAACUGGCCGCCUCCGCUCCACACGACAAGCACGUCAACAUCAUUGGCGCCGACGAUGCCACCACCUGUAUUAUCGUCGUGGUCCGACACUCGGGAUCUGGCGCCGUGGCUCUGGCCCACUUCGAUGGCAGCGGCGUGGACGAGGCUGUGUGCACCAUGGUGUCGCGGGUUCAGGAGCUGGCCGUCGGCUAUCCGGAGGGUCGCAUCGAGUUGCAGUUGAUUGGUGGCUAUCGGGAUGCCAAGGGCUACGGCGAGGACGUCUUCUUCAGCAUCAUGCAAUCAUUCCACAAUCACCUACUCGAGAUCGAUCUAACGCAGGCCUGCGUGGGCGAGCUGAACACCAUGAUGCGCGGCGAGAUUAGCUGCCCGAUCAUUUACGGCGUGGGCGUCAACAUCAAGACUGGUGAGAUCUUUCCGGCCUCUUUUCCGGACCGAGGACCAGAUCGGGAACUGCGCGAUGCUCGCAUUUUUAUGGGAGCGCAGUCGGUCCUGGAUGUAUACGACUCCUCGCUGGGCAUGCUUCGUAUCGGACCCUUCAACUAUGAUCCGCUGCGCGGCGCCGAUCUGUGGCUUUCCCAAACGGAUGAGUUUCUGCUGCAGCACCUGUCCUCCAGUCCCGACGUGGAGCCGCCCCACUUUGCGCCCCAGACGCGUGCAACCAUUAGAUUUAUACAGGAGAACCAGUUUCCCGCCGUCACCGUCUUCAGGGACAACCGGCCUCGCUACUUCCGGCGGGAUGAUGCCACGGGCUUCUGGGUGCUGGUUAGAUAUUAAAGCUUACUUUAGUGUUUAGUUGUUACGCAAUUCGAAACUGUCGCAGAUGUGUUAAUCAGCUGGUGCAUGUGUUAAUUGUCGCUGUCCACCGCAAAUGCUUCUGCCUGCCUUUUGUUUGAGUUUAAAUCGUUGAGUUGAUUAUAUUCGGCUGUAAUUGUCAUUGCUGUUCUGAUUAAUCUGAUAUACAAGAUUGAGUUCCGACGCUGGAGACGGUUGCUUGGGACGAGCCUUAGAAAUGGAUCUGAACUGGAAACGUUAAAGCGAUAAAUAAUGAUUAAUAAUUAUUAAAAGUGUAUGUGCACAUGUGCAUGUAAAUAUUUAUGUGAACCUUAUUAAAGAAUCGAUUACUAUUUAAAAGAGAUCCCUAGCAAAAUAUAUACAUAUGCGCAUACCCCGUGUAAACGAAAGGAAACAAUUUCGAAUGCAAUCAUUUUAGCUGUAACUAUAACCUGUAAUCAAAAAUUUAAGAAAAAUAUAUAAAAAUGGCUUGGCUAUACAUACACA